UUUGUUUCGCCUGUUCUACAGAAA
rnacentral:siRNA from 1 species